UCCAGGGUUGCUGUGAGCUAUAGUGUAGGUUUCAGACGUGGCUUGGAUCCUGCAUUGCUGUUGCUGUGGUGUAGGCCAGAAGCUACAGCUCUGAUUCUACCCCUAGCCUGGGAACCUCCAUAUGCCAUGGAUGCGGCCCUAAAAAGACAAAAAAAAAAAAAAAAAAAAAAAAAAAGAGAGAGAGAGAGAGAGACCCCAGAGAGCUCUCUUGCUCCUCCCCCCAAGUGAGGACACAAUGAGAAGACUGCCAUCUAUGGAUAGGGAGCUUGGGUUGGCAUGCGCACACUAUUGUAUAUGGAAUGCAUGGUCAAGGGGGCCCUGCAGUGUAGCUCGGGGAAGUCUACUCAAUAUUGUUUUUUUUUUUUCCUUUUUUGGGGGGCGCUACACCUGUGACAUAUGGAAGUUCCCAGAUUAGGGGUCGAAUCAGAGCUGCAGCUGCCGGCUUACCGGCUUCCGCCAUAGCCACAGCAACAUAGGAUCCUAGCAGCAUCAGCAACCUAUGCCCACAGUUGGUGGCGACUCCAGAUCCUUAACCCACUGAAUGAGGCCAGAGAUCCAACCCUCAUCCUCAUGGACACUAUGGUAGGUCCUUAACCUUCUGAGCCACAGGGGGAAUUCCCAUCUACUUAAUAUUCCGUGGUAACCUUUAUGGGAAUGGACAUAUGUUUAUUUAUAAGUGAAUCACUCUGCUGUACAGUGGAAAUUAACACAACAUUGUAAAUCAACUAUACCUCAAUAAAAUUUUUUUUAAAAAGGAAGAAGAAAAAGAAGAUUGUCAUCUAUGAACCAGGAAGUGGGCUCUCACAAGACACUGAAUGUACUAGAACCUUGGUCUUGGACUCCCCAACCUCCAGAACUGUGAGAAAUACAUUUCUGUUGUUUAUAAUCCAUAUAGAGACCUUGUUUGGGCCUCUUUAGGGUGUAGUAAAUCAGGACAAUUUGGAUUCUCUUCUCUUUCCUACUCCCUUUCCCAUUCCCUCACUUGGCAGGAGGGAUCUUUGCAGCUUGGAUGCCAUAUACCAAACGGAUGCCAACUGAUUCCAUAUCUCGUCCCAUCUCCCCAUUCCCUUCACACCCUGAAGUCUGUAUGUGACCUCUUCUUCCUCACUCUCUCAAGUUCUGUGUUAGACCAUCUAUAUUAGAAUGCUGCUUAUUAGCAGGUAUAAAAAAGGUUGAUUUGCCUGUGAACCUUGAUGGAUUUAGAAUCUUUCCCAAAUAUUCAAUCAGGCUUCACUGACCACUUUCAUUUUCUUCAUUUUUCAAAUGAAGCAGGUAGUUGAUAAAUUCCUUAUGUGGGACAACCUGGGAAGCUGUGACACUGCCAAAGUGAAACCAGGGAUCUCUCUGCCAGGAAAUUCAACAGAAAAGAAUUUCUGCCCAGAUAUGUCUAUGAUGCCUAUGUCUGUCGAUUUUAUUUGCUUUGCUAGCUAUUGUCUUCCACCUUUAUUUCAUAUACGGAAAUCGAAGUCCUAAUAAAUGUUAAGUGACUAAGAGCAGGACUCAGAAAAUUAGAGGAGCAACAAGGGUUCUCAAUUUUUAUCUGUUUGUACUUUUUCCUAACAAUCCCCACCUGAUGCCUUCCGUGUAAAUACCUGGUUAACGCAGGAGGAAAAAGACUGUGACAGAUUCUGGUCUUUUAGUGCCAUGUACUUUCUUUGUAUUAAUGCUAUUAAUCAUCUGAUUACUGUUAAGUCAUUUUAAGUUCUGGUGAGAUCAGCAUCUCCUGAAUUGCAGUGCAUUUUUGAGCACUGACUGCAUCAAUACAGUGUAUUAGGUUCUAUUUGGGGGAAACUGAAAGAAAAAGAUAUGGCCCCCGAAAUAUAGUAUCUUAUACUCUAGUUAGGAAACCAAAUGCACAGAAAUGAUAUUAAAAAACUGUAUAUGGGAGUUCCCAUUGUGGCUCAACAGGUUAAGAACCCAACAUAGUGUCUGUGAGGAUGAGGGUUCAAUCCCCAGCCUUGCUCAGUCGGUUAGGGAGCUGGCAUUGCUGCAAGCUUCGGCAUAGUUUGCAGAUUGGGCUCAGAUCUGGUGUUGCUGUGGCUGUGGCAUAGGCUUAAGCUGCAGCUCCGAUUCAUCCCUAGCCCAGGACUUCCAUAUGCCACAGGUGCGGCCUUGACAAGGGAAAAAAAAUUGUAUUAUACCAUAUUUCCUUUAAAAAAGGUGAAACUUUUUUCCUUUUUAAUGGUCUUGCCUUUCCACAGCAUUUACAUUUCAGCCAAACUUCUCUUAAUAUGAUGUUUCAAAGUUAGUUAUUCUGGAGUUCCUGUAGUGGCUCAGCAGAAACGAAUCUGACUAGUAUCUAUGAGAACACAGGUGUGAUCCCUGGCUUUGCUCAGUGGGUUAAGUCUCUAGCGUUGCCAUGAACUGUGGUGUAGGUCACAGAUGUGGCUUGGAUCUGGCAUUGCUGAGGUUGCGGUGUAUGCCAACGGUUACAGCUCCAAUUCGACCCCUAUCCUGGGAACCUCCAUAUGCCGUGGGUGCAGCCCUAAAAAAAUGACCAAAAAAAAAAAAAA
rnacentral:lncRNA from 1 species